CGGUCUGGUGCCGCGUACGGGAUCCGUCCAGCAGGCCCUCGUGGUCGGCAGAUGCAGGGAUCCGCGACGGCAUCGACGUGCAGAGGAGGCGCGCCAGACAUG
rnacentral:ncRNA from 1 species